AGUUGCUUGGCUUCACCAAAACUCCUCUUCUCUAGAAGCCUGGCUGGCAAGGCGUCCCACUGGCAGUAUGUUGCUCAACCUCGCCUUGCUUUUGUGACAUGCUGUCUGGCCCCUCUGCAUUACAUAGUCAAGGAACGACACGGUGAUUGCAUCAUAUAGUCAGCAUUUUACCUCCAAGAGGCAGGAGCAUGAAUUGUUGCUUCAGUUGGAGAUUCAAGUUGCUGGGGCCAAGAAGAUAACAAUAUCAGAUGUCAAGUGUUGGCAGUGAUUCCAAUUGACUUGCAUAAGAGCGUUAGUUGAAACAUCAAACAAAAAGGUGGUCUCCUGCCUCCCUAAUUCUUGCCUUCCCCAACUCUUUAACUUCAUGCACUUCGCUUGCAGCUUUUGAGACUAGCAUUGCAAGUGUUUUUUUGAGUACCUCCAAUUGUGUGCUCGAUCUAUCGACCUUUUCCUGCAGAAAUGCAUCUAGUUCAGCAAAAUCAGGGCUUCAGGUGCUUCCAUUACUUUAAUUUUUUUUUGUUAUUGCCAUAUUUUCUGUUGAUUAUAACUUAUUGUGGAGAUUGAGUCUGUAUAUGAUAUAACAAAAGAAAAAAGAACAGGGUUAUUCACCACAUCACAUGGCAGUAUCUUGUGGCCGUUUGUUGGCUAAAGUCAGUUUAGUGAGAGAACAUUUCUGUGAUGAAAGCAUACUGUGGGUAAGACGCAUUUGAUAUGUGUAAUCAAUGGGCAAGGGCAUUCAUCACAGACGGAAGCACCCAGUUUCAGGUCCGUUUCUCUCAAAGGCUACAAUAGUACUCACUGGCAUCAUCUUCAAUUA